rnacentral:rRNA from 1 species
UACGGGGGGGGUAAGCGUUGUUCGGAAUUACUGGGCGUAAAGGGCUCGUAGGCGGCCAACUAAGUCGGACGUGAAAUCCCUCAGCUUAACUGGGGAACUGCGUCCGAUACUGGAUGGCUUGGAUUUGGGAGAGGGAUGCGGAAUUCCAGGUGUAGCGGUGAAAUGCGUAGAUAUCAUUUGGAACGCCAAUGGUGAAAACAGGUAGCUGGGGCUGUGCUGACACUGAGACACGAAAGCCAGGGGAGCGAACGGG